CUCAUCAUUGGACCAUAAUUCUUGGUUUUAUCUAUGUUCAUUCUUCGUUCCUUUAGUUCCCCGUCAUUGGGUUACUAUCCUUGUUUUAAUAUAAGUUUCUUUGUUGGUUCCUCUGAUUUCUCAUCGCUAGGACGUCAUCCUAGGUUCUAUCUAUAUCCAAUUUGAGUUAAUUUUGUGUUUGAUUGUCUGCAUACCAUCCUAGGUUCUACCUAAGCUUAGUUGGUUGUUUGUUAUGUUUCACAUCAUUGUGAUGUCAUCCUAGUUUCUAUCUAGGUUUAUUUUUAGUUCCUUUGGGUUCCGCACAUUUGGAUACAAUCCUAGGUUCGACCUAUGUUCAUUGUUUGUUUAUUUGGUUUCCCAUCAUUGUGAACUAUCU
rnacentral:lncRNA from 1 species